rnacentral:tRNA from 1 species
CGGGGCGUGGCGCAGCCUGGUAGCGCAUCUGCUUUGGGAGCAGAGGGUCGUGAGUUCGAAUCUCGCCGCCCCGACCA